UACGUAGGUGGCGAGCGUUAUCCGGAAUGAUUGGGCGUAAAGGGUGCGUAGGUGGUUUCUUAAGUCAGAGGUGAAAGGCUACGGCUCAACCGUAGUAAGCCUUUGAAACUGGGGAACUUGAGUGCAGGAGAGGAGAGUGGAAUUCCUAGUGUAGCGGUGAAAUGCGUAGAUAUUAGGAGGAACACCAGUUGCGAAGGCGGCUCUCUGGACUGUAACUGACACUGAGGCACGAAAGCGUGGGGAGCAAACAGG
rnacentral:rRNA from 1 species